GCCACUUUCUGCAAGAUUUGCCUCUCCUCAUUGGCAGCACAUUCCUCAAACUUCUUUUCAAGUUCAGAAAACUUCUGGUCACUGACAGUCAGUGCAUCUUCAACUAUAUCGCCCAAUUGGGAGACAUGUGUAUCCAAAGUCUUAAAGAAGUUGCCAGUAAUUUGAGAAAAUGACCUUGAUGUUGUGAUUGUCCUGCAGUGAGCCUCACGUUG
rnacentral:misc_RNA from 1 species